CCCGCCUGCAUGAAGUCGGAAUUGCUAGUAAUCGCGGAUCAGCAUGCCGCGGUGAAUACGUUCCCGGGCCUUGUACACACCGCCCGUCACACCAUGGGAGCCGGUAAUACCCGAAGUCAGUAGUCCAACCACGUGAGGACGCUGCCGAAGGUAGGAUUGGCGACUGGGGUGAAGUCGUAACAAGGUAGC
rnacentral:rRNA from 1 species